GAGAGCGAGCGGUGCAUUUGCAUGUUGCGGAGUGAUUAGUGGGUUUGAAAAGCGAACCGUGGCUCGGCCUCAUUUCCCGCUCUGGUUCAGGCGCAGGAGGAAGUGUUUUGCUGGAGGAUGAUGACAGAGGAAUCUGAGAAUUGCUCUCACACACCAACCCUGCAACAUCCGUGGAGAAAACUCUCAGCAGCAACUCCUUUAAAAUACCGUCAUUUCAAACCAUUGUGGUCUUUAAGCAACAACAGCAGCACAAAAAACCCCAACCAAACAAAACUCUUGACAGAAGCUGUGACAACCAGAGAGGAUGCCUCAUAAAGGGGGAAGACUUUAACUAGGGGCGCGCAGAUGUGUGAGGCCUUUUAUUGUGAGAGUGGACAGACAUCCGAGAUUUCAGAGCCCCAUAUUCGAGCCCCGUGGAAUCCCGCGGCCCCCAGCCAGAGCCAGCAUGCAGAACAGUCACAGCGGAGUGAAUCAGCUCGGUGGUGUCUUUGUCAACGGGCGGCCACUGCCGGACUCCACCCGGCAGAAGAUUGUAGAGCUAGCUCACAGCGGGGCCCGGCCGUGCGACAUUUCCCGAAUUCUGCAGGUGUCCAACGGAUGUGUGAGUAAAAUUCUGGGCAGGUAUUACGAGACUGGCUCCAUCAGACCCAGGGCAAUCGGUGGUAGUAAACCGAGAGUAGCGACUCCAGAAGUUGUAAGCAAAAUAGCCCAGUAUAAGCGGGAGUGCCCGUCCAUCUUUGCUUGGGAAAUCCGAGACAGAUUACUGUCCGAGGGGGUCUGUACCAACGAUAACAUACCAAGUGUAAGUUCAUUGAGAACAUCUGCCCUCCCUGCCCUAAGCCCAAUGCUCUCUCCUCUUUACCUCCUCCCACCCACUUUCUCCACUGUCUCUUAGUCUGUGUCCUCUCCCUGCUCCACAUUUGUCUCCUUUGUACCUGGGGGAACAGAGAGGAAUGCCCUGACCUUUCUUUGACUGUCUGGAAAAUGGGAGUCAAGUGUGGGGAGUCGUUCACUUCAUUUGCAUGCUGCAAAACAGAGGGCGGAGGCACCAGGGAAAGGCACUUGAAUGAAGAAGAAAAAUGAGAACCAGAUUGUAACUUCGUCCCAAUCCACCUGCCAGAACUUUCCUUCAGGUGUCACACAUCCAUUUCCAUCCUAAUAUUAAACAAUAUGAUGAAAGAAAGCUUUACACCAAGUCUAAAUAGUUUUUAUUUUCGGGCAGUCUUUUAACAAAGCAAAGCAACCGUGUGAGUUAGGUCACCAGAGACACCAAGCAAUGGUGAAGGACCCCCUCCCCCCAAUUCUCUAUUCAACUAAACUUCCAUGCCCAAAAUGAUAGCUAUCAUUUUUUCCACGGUGUAUCUGCAAAUCCACCCACUGUCCCGGGGUGGCUGGGAGCUUUUUAAUGGGUUGAGAGUUGCUUUUUAAGGUGGUGGGUGAGCUGAGAUGGGUGACUGUGUCUUCAGGAGACACUACCAUUUGGUUUGAUUUUGGUUUGAUUUGCAGGUGUCAUCAAUAAACAGAGUUCUUCGCAACCUGGCUAGCGAAAAGCAACAGAUGGGCGCAGACGGCAUGUAUGAUAAACUAAGGAUGUUGAACGGGCAGACCGGAAGCUGGGGCACCCGCCCUGGUUGGUAUCCGGGGACUUCGGUGCCAGGGCAACCUACGCAAGAUGGCUGCCAGCAACAGGAAGGAGGGGGAGAGAAUACCAACUCCAUCAGUUCCAAUGGAGAAGAUUCAGAUGAGGCUCAAAUGCGACUUCAGCUGAAGCGGAAGCUGCAAAGAAAUAGAACAUCCUUUACCCAAGAGCAAAUUGAGGCCCUGGAGAAAGAGUUUGAGAGAACCCAUUAUCCAGAUGUGUUUGCCCGAGAAAGACUAGCAGCCAAAAUAGAUCUACCUGAAGCAAGAAUACAGGUAUGGUUUUCUAAUCGAAGGGCCAAAUGGAGAAGAGAAGAAAAACUGAGGAAUCAGAGAAGACAGGCCAGCAACACACCUAGUCAUAUUCCUAUCAGCAGUAGUUUCAGCACCAGUGUCUACCAACCAAUUCCACAACCCACCACACCUGUUUCCUCCUUCACAUCUGGCUCCAUGUUGGGCCGAACAGACACAGCCCUCACAAACACCUACAGCGCUCUGCCGCCUAUGCCCAGCUUCACCAUGGCAAAUAACCUGCCUAUGCAACCCCCAGUCCCCAGCCAGACCUCCUCAUACUCCUGCAUGCUGCCCACCAGCCCUUCGGUGAAUGGGCGGAGUUAUGAUACCUACACCCCCCCACAUAUGCAGACACACAUGAACAGUCAGCCAAUGGGCACCUCGGGCACCACUUCAACAGGACUCAUUUCCCCUGGUGUGUCAGUUCCAGUUCAAGUUCCUGGAAGUGAACCUGAUAU
rnacentral:sRNA from 1 species